AUGAUUUGUGGUUAGGGGUGAAAGGCCAAUCAAACUUAGAGAUAGCUGGUUUUCUGCGAAAUCUAUUUAAGUAGAGCGUUUAAAAUUCGUUAUUUUAAGGUAGAGCACUCGAUAAAUAAAGGGGGCGUAAAGUCUUACUGCAUUUAAUGAAACUCCGAAUAUAAAAUUAACAAGAUUUUAAACAGACAGACUAUGAGUGCUAAGAUUCAUAGUCAAAAGGGAAACAGCCCAAAUUAUUUGUUAAGGCCCUCAAAAGUAAUUAAGUGAAAAAGAUAGUAAAAAAAUUUUAACAGCUUAUAGGUAGGCUUGGAAGCAGCCAUCCUUUCAAGAAAGCGUAACAACUCAUUGGUUUAGUUUUUUAGCGUUGAAAAUGUAUAGGGACUAAAAUUACUUGCCGAAACAAUAAAUUCAAGCUAAUAACAUAGCUUGAAUGGUAGCAGAACGUUUUGUAUAUUUAAGAAGAUUUAUAGUUAUAUAGGUUGGAAAAAUCAAAACUGAAAAUAUUGAUAUGAGUAGCGAUAAACGUUGUAGUGAAAAGUAAACUACGUCACCUUAAGUUCAAGGUUUAUAAGGAAAGGCUAAUCCUCCUUAUGUUAAUCGGUCCCUAAGAUAAUAACGAAAGUGCUAAUUGAUGGGUAAUAACUUUUUAUUAUAUUGUAAAGUGACAAAAUAUGAAUUUGAUUUUUAUUAUGAUUAAAAGUCUUUUAGUAUUUUCAAGAAAUAGCUUAUAAUAAUACCGUACUGUAAACCGACACAGGUGAACAAAUUUAGUAAAUUAAGGUGCUUGAGUUAAUUGUAUUGAAGGAACUCGGCAAAAUGACUCCGUAACUUCGGGAGAAGGAGUAGCUUUUCAAGGUUAACACCUCAAAAAGCUGUCACAAAAUCGAGGACAGCGACUGUUUAAUAAAAACACAGGUCUCUGCAAAUUUGAAAAAAGAAGUAUAGAGACUGACGCCUGCCCGGUGCUGCAAGCUUAAUAGAAAAAGUCUUGGCUUUGACUGUAACCCCCAGUAAACGGCGGCUGUAACUCUGACGGUCCAAAGGUAGCGAAAUUCCUUGGCAUUUAAUUGGUGUCCUGCAUGAAUGGCGUAACGACUGUCCUACUGUCUCCAAUGCAAGCUCAGUGAAAUUGAAAUGUCUGUGAAGAUGCAGACUACUCCCGGCUAGACGGAAAGACCCUGUGCACCUUUACUACAAUUAUAAAUUGUAAUAGAAUUUUUUUUGUGUAGUAUACGUGGUAAGUUUUAAUCAAACCGUAACACAAGUUAUUUGUUUAAACUUAAGUGAAAUACCACUCUUAAAAACUUUUGUUACUCAUACUUUCAAAACAGUUUAUAAUGGGUAGUUUGACUGGGGCGGUCGCCUCCUAAAAAGUAACGGAGGCGUGCGAAGGUAAGCUCAAAUUGACUAAUAUCAAUUUAAGAGCAUAAUAGUAAAUUGUUUGCUUGACUGAAAGAUUGACAAAUCGAACAGAGAUGAAAAUCGGCUAUAGUGAUCCGAUGACUCUGAGUGGAAAAGGUCAUCGCUCAACGGAUAAAAGGUACGCCAGGGAUAACAGGCUAAUCAUUCUUUAGAGACCCUAUCGAUGGAGUGGUUUGGCACCUCGAUGUUGGAUUAUCGCAUCCUGGAGCUGUAAGUGGUUCCAAGGGUUUGGCUGUUCGCCAAGAAAGGCGGUACAUGAUCUGAGUUUAGAACGUUGUAAAACAGUUUGGUCCCUAUCUACCGUGAGUGUUAAAAAUUAAAAGGAGUAAACCCUAGUACGAGAGGACCGGGAAAAGUAAAUCUCUGGUGAAUCGAUUGUCAUUUUAAUGGCAUUGUCGAGUAGCUAUAUUUAUAAUAGAUAAUUGUUGAAAGCAUCUAAACAAGAAACUAACCUUAAAAAAAAUUUUUUAAAAGUCGUAAAAGAUUAUUACGUGAUAGACUUAAUGUAUAAGAGUUGUAAAAUUUUUAGCAAAUAAGUA
rnacentral:rRNA from 13 species